GAUGAACGCUGGCGGCGUGCCUAACACAUGCAAGUCGAGCGAAGCACUUACUUUAGAUUUCUUCGGAAUGACGAAGUUUGUGACUGAGCGGCGGACGGGUGAGUAACGCGUGGGCAACCUGCCCUGUACAGGGGGAUAACAGUUAGAAAUGACUGCUAAUACCGCAUAAGCCCACAGCUUCGCAUGAAGCAGUGGGAAAAACUCCGGUGGUACAGGAUGGGCCCGCGUCUGAUUAGCUAGUUGGUAAGGUAACGGCUUACCAAGGCGACGAUCAGUAGCCGACCUGAGAGGGUGACCGGCCACAUUGGGACUGAGACACGGCCCAAACUCCUGCGGGAGGCAGCAGUGGGGAAUAUUGCACAAUGGGGGAAACCCUGAUGCAGCGACGCCGCGUGAGCGAUGAAGUAUUUCGGUAUGUAAAGCUCUAUCAGCAGGGAAGAAAGUGACGGUACCUGACUAAGAAGCCCCGGCUAACUACGUG
rnacentral:rRNA from 1 species